GAAGUUUUUGUAGAAAAUGGCAUUAUUGUAAUACAACUAUGCAUUCCACUAGAAUAAAUGAUUUCAACAGAAUAAUGGUAAUGCCCAAGAAUGAAUGUAACAAUGGUACUAGAUUUAUGCAGAUAUUACCCCAGCAUUCAUAUAUGAAUAUGAACAUAAUGCCUUCGCCACAGCCUUGUUCCUGUAGUUUAUACGAUACUGAUCUUCUGCUACUUAUCGUCCCAUUUAAUGUAAAAUAUUUGUUUAAAUUCCAAAAUGGAAUGACUUUUUUUUACUUUAAAAGUUGUCGUCAAUCUGAAUUAUUUAACACAAAAACUAACUUGUUAUUCUUGACGGAAACAAAAGGGUCCUUAUUAAAACACACAGCUUGAACGCCAGUAAUGAUUUAUUAUUUAAACAUAUUCCUGUUAACGGAAUCCACGGUAGUGCUUAACCCCAGAAAGUGAAUAGUUAUGGAAAGCAAUAUUUGGAUUAAAUCAUGAGGCCGUCUGCAGAACCCAUUUGUGUUUUGUUUUCAAGCCAACUUUACAGAGCUAAAGUUUUAAAAGUUAACAGUCUCCUGAUGAAAGAGGCUCAGCAAGAAAGUCACAUGACCUGAUGCCCGUCACUUCCACAUUGAGAUAAAUUAAUGAGCACUACUGAGCAGCCCGAUGUGUGAAACAUGAGAACACCACUGAUCUCGAGGUCAUUGCGUUGUGAUGUCGGGAUAACGGAUGCAAAGUGCCCUUGAGAAGUAUUAGUUUUACAUCCAAAAUCACAGAGACAAACCCAAAAGAGGAGCGGACUAGUCUCAGAGUCCUCGAGUCCCAUCGGGUGUCCGACCUCACGCGGGACGUCCUGAACGUGUGAGCGCCCACACAAUCUGCGCUUCAGUGUUUUCUCCACAGUAUGUAGGUGACGAGCAGCAGGAGGCCCGCCGCCAGGCCCGCCAUCACAAACUGGUGGAUGGAGAGGACGUUCUCCAGCUCGUGGAUCCUCUCCUCCAUGGCGCUGGUGUGGAAGUAGUCGUAGAUGCCGGCUCCAAUGCUCCACAGCGCCCACACGGCGUCCAACACCAGCGGCAUGGUGAGGCAGACAGGGGGGGGGUCAGACUC
ensembl:lncRNA